UUUGAGAAAGCAUGUUAUUGUACUUACUGCAUGCUUACAGCACUUGUUGGCUUCAUUCAAGUGCUCUGUGCUCUCUUAACACAGGAGAAGCCCAGGGAGGUGACUGAAAUGGCUACUAACACAGUUCAUGAGAGAGGAAGCAGCCUAAGAAUGAGAGGAAGAAAUAUAUCACCCCAUCUCUGUGGCUACCCCAGCCUUUCCUCUGGGCAUCUAAAGAGGGAUGCUGCUUGCUGCCUUCCUUCAGCAGCAGCCGGGUGGAGCAGAUUCAGGAUGGAGGAGCAUUAGGAACACUAUGGGAAUCUGACAGCUUGGCUCACUUUCACUGAGGGCUUGAGGAGACAGAGCAGAAGAGAGAGAGGGGGAGAGAGAGAGACAGAGAAAGAGGGAGUAGAAGCGAGAGAGAAAGAAAGAUCUUUUGUGCUGUUUCCUUUGCUGUUUCUCCUUCGCUGUGUAGCUGGACUUCUCCUGAAAGGUGAGUGUGAGUUUUCCCUCCGGAACAGGCUCUGGGCGGUCUAUGUAAAUGACUUAGUGCUUGCGAUGUGCUGCUUUCUUCUUCUUCUUUUCUCCUUGUUCUUUUUCCUCCUCUACCUUCCACUUCUUCUUUUUUCUCCUUUCUCUUUUUUAGCUUUAGCUUUGUUUACUUUUCUUUUCUGCUAUAAAGAUAAACUUCUGUUCCACUUUAAUUUCUGGAGCUCCCACUGGAAGGACUUUUAGGAGUUUUGGGGUCUGCAGUCACAGCAGUUACAGCUCAGUGUGUUGAUGAUUUUGGGUGCACUUAGCAUUUAAGCUAAUUUUAGUGAACCAGUGUUAGUGUGUUUGAUGCUAAAUGUGUUUGGUCUAACUUUGGUGUAUUUAUUCUGAGACUUUGUUGCUGAUGCUAAAUGUCAAGUGGUUAAACACCAUAGAGUUGUUUCAGAACUCAAAAGUUGUCAAGUCUUCAUAUUAUGAUUCAAAUAUAUGCAAAUAAAUAAAC
rnacentral:lncRNA from 1 species